CGUAGGCGGAAAAAUAAGUCUAAUGUGAAAGCCCUCGGCUUAACCGAGGAACUGCAUCGGAAACUGUUUUUCUUGAGUGCAGAAGAGGAGAGUGGAACUCCAUGUGUAGCGGUGGAAUGCGUAGAUAUAUGGAAGAACACCAGUGGCGAAGGCGGCUCUCUGGUCUGCAACUGACGCUGAGGCUCGAAAGCAUGGGUAGCGAACAGGAUUAGAUACCCUGGUAGUCCACGCCGUAAACGAUGAGUGCUAGGUGUUAGGCCCUUUCCGGGGCUUAGUGCCGCAGCUAACGCAUUAAGCACUCCGCCUGGGGAGUACGACCGCAAGGUUGAAACUCAAAGGAAUUGACGGGGGCCCGCACAAGCGGUGGAGCAUGUGGUUUAAUUCGAAGCAACGCGAAGAACCUUACCAGGUCUUGACAUCCCAGUGACCGCUCUAGAGAUAGAGUUUUUCUUCGGAACACUGGUGACAGGUGGUGCAUGGUUGUCGUCAGCUCGUGUCGUGAGAUGUUGGGUUAAGUCCCGCAACGAGCGCAACCCUUAUUGUUAGUUGCCAUCAUUCAGUUGGGCACUCUAGCGAGACUGCCGGUAAUAAACCGGAGGAAGGUGGGGAUGACGUCAAAUCAUCAUGCCCCUUAUGACCUGGGCUACACACGUGCUACAAUGGUUGGUACAACGAGUCGCAAGUCGGUGACGGCAAGCAAAUCUCUUAAAGCCAAUCUCAGUUCGGAUUGUAGGCUGCAACUCGCCUACAUGAAGUCGGAAUCGCU
rnacentral:rRNA from 1 species